rnacentral:rRNA from 1 species
GUCUUUUUGAAUUAUAAUUUAAAGUCUGAUCUGCUCAAUGGAGAGUUAAAUAGCCGCAGUAUUUUGACUGUGCAAAGGUAGCAUAAUAAUUAGUUUCUUAAUUAGGGUCUUGUAUGAAUGAUUCACAAGAAAAUUUCUGUCUCUUUUUAUUUUUUUAUGAAUUUAAUUUUUAAGUUAAAAUGCUUAAUUGUUUCUAAAAGACGAGAAGACCCCAUAGAGUUUUAUUUUUAUAUUUUUUUAGUAUAAUAAUUUAAAGAAAAAUUUAGUUGGGGUGAUUAAAAGAUUUAAUAAACUCUUUUAAUUUAAAUCAUUGAUUUAUGAAUAAUAAUUCUAAUUUUUUUAAGUUUAAAUUAAAUUACCUUGGGGAUAACAGCGUAAUUUCUUUUUAGAGUUCUUAUCAAAUAAGAAGAUUGCGACCUCGAUGUUGGAUUAAAAUUUAUUUUAGGUGUAGGGCUAAAAAUAAGUCUGUCGACUUAAAU